rnacentral:rRNA from 1 species
UACGAAGGGGGCUAGCGUUGCUCGGAAUCACUGGGCGUAAAGCGCACGUAGGCGGUCUUUUAAGUCAGGGGUGAAAUCCUGGAGCUCAACUCCAGAACUGCCUUUGAUACUGGGAGACUUGAGUCCGGGAGAGGUGAGUGGAACUGCGAGUGUAGAGGUGAAAUUCGUAGAUAUUCGCAAGAACACCAGUGGCGAAGGCGACUACCUGGCCUGUUCUUGACGCUGAGGCGCGAAAGCUAGGGGAGCAAACGGG